GUGCUCUUCUUGGUGGUAGAGCAUCUGCUUUGUAUGCAAAAGGUCCCAGGUUCAACCCUGGCAUCUCCA